rnacentral:ncRNA from 1 species
AGCAGUGACACGGGGUGCCAGCGACUGGCUGGCUGAGAUUUUAGACCCGUUGAACCUGAACCAGUUAGGACUGGCGGAGGGAUGUCGCUGCAGUCUUCG